ACGGAAGGCAGCAGUGGGGAAUAUUGCACAAUGGGCGAAAGCCUGAUGCAGCGACGCCGCGUGAGUGAAGAAGUAUCUCGGUAUGUAAAGCUCUAUCAGCAGGGAAGAAAAUGACGGUACCUGACUAAGAAGCCCCGGCUAACUACGUGCCAGCAGCCGCGGUAAUACGUAGGGGGCAAGCGUUAUCCGGAUUUACUGGGUGUAAAGGGAGCGUAGACGGUUUGGCAAGUCUGAAGUGAAAUGCGGGGGCUCAACUCCUGAACUGCUUUGGAAACUGUCGAACUAGAGUGCAGGAGAGGUAAGUGGAAUUCCUAGUGUAGCGGUGAAAUGCGUAGAUAUUAGGAGGAACACCAGUGGCGAAGGCGGCUUACUGGACUGUAACUGACGCUGAGGCUCGAAAGCGUGGGGAGCAAACAGGAUUAGAUACCCUGGUA
rnacentral:rRNA from 2 species